rnacentral:lncRNA from 10 species
GUAAACUCAAAGGGGAAGGAAGUAAUUAAUAAAGAUGAGAGCAGAAAUCUGUGAAAUACAAAAUAAAGAAACAAAGUCAAAAGUUGGCUCUUUGAAAAGAUCAACAGAAGUCAUAAACCCCUACUUAAUCAAAAAUAUGAUACUGCAAAAAUUGCGCAUAUGAGAAAUUUACAAAUGGAUUGUAUUAGAGAUCCAACAGACAUUAAAAUAUUAAAAAGAGACUAUCAUGAACAACUUUAUGGGAAUAACUUCACAAUUAAGAUAGAAUAAAAUUCUUUGUAAAGUGCAGCUUACUAUAAUUGAGAGAAGAUGGGAUAGAAAAACUGAAUGGUUCUAUAUUUGUUAAAACCUUGGAAUUGGAUACUAGAGGAAGCACACACACAUACACACACACUCACACAAAGAAAACUCUAGGGUCAGAUGGUUUCAUUGGUGAAUUCUUUGAAAGAUAUCUCUAGUUUAUAUCUGUAGCUACAUCCCUCUGUCAUUCUUCUGCUACAACCUCAUUUCAUGUAUAGGGCUUCUCUUAGAGACUUGUUGUCUACACACUUGACAUUUCUGUUUUGUACCCUGAAAAGAACCCCAAUUAUGACUCUCUCUCUCUUCUUGUUCCACUCUCUUAGGUUCUCUCUUCCAGCAACAACACAGUGAAGCCUUUCUACUUUUCUAUGUUAUAUGUCCUACUCUCCUUGGUCCCAGGAUGGCAUGCAUCCUGCUGUCUUCAUGGAGACCCACAUGGUGCUGAUGAAACCUGAAGGGAAACAGUUUGGUGACAUCAGCAAGAUGGUGGAAUGUGACUUCCCAGUAAUCAGCUCCUCACAGAACAUCAAUACAGACGACUAUCCACACUCAAAAAUGCCUUCAUAAGAGCUAAGAAACCCAGAUGAGAGAUAUAGCACCUGGGUAUAGUACAGAAAUAAGAAAGAUGUAAAGAAGAGGGUAAAAAGGACAGUUUUAUGUGUUCUGUAUCACUCCUCCUCAAAACCCAAGUAGGACAGCAUGGACAAAGAUACUCCUAUGUUGGAGAAAAAGAGGAAAGUGGGCAUCAGACUUUGCCAUGGACCCCAGAACCAGUCUGGCCCCAGUGCAACUUGGUGCCAGGCCUCCAGGCCCACAUCAGAGGCCCUAGGCCCUAAGGCUCAACCCCUCAGAUGUGGGUUCUAGGCCCAACCAAGUUUACAGACAAGUUCCAGGCAUCCGGUCAGCACCCUUGAACCCAGCUUUCUGGCCCACUCUAGUGGCAGGCCAGCCCCAGUGACCCCAGGCUCCAGACUAGCCAGAGCCAGGACAAGAGCCCAGAAAUAAAUGCACACAUUUAUAGUCGAUUGAUCUUUGACAAAGGUGGCAAGAACACACAAUGGAGAAGAAGAGUUUCUUCAAUAAACCAUGUUGGGAAAAUUGAAUAUCCACAUACAAAGAGUGAAAUUGAACCCUCAUCUCAAAGUAUAUAAAAAAUCAACUCAAAAUGCAUUAAAUACUUAAAUAUAAGGUCUGAAACUAUAAAACAACUGGAAGACAACAUAGGGCAGAGCCUCUUGGCAUUGGCUUGGGCAAUGAAGUUUUUGAUAUGACCGCAAAAGUAGAGGCAACAAAAAGCAAAAUACACAAAUGGGAUGGCACACAAACUCAAAAGCUUCUGCACAGAAAGGGAAACAAUCAAUAGGGUAAAGAGACAACCUACAGAAGAAAAUAUUUGUAUACCUAAUACCUGAAAAGGGAUUGGUUAAUAGUCAAUAUCUAUAAGGAACUCAAGCAACUUAAUAAAAAACAAAUAACCUGAUUUUAAAAUGAGCAAAAGACUUAAAUAGACAUUUCUCAAAAGAAGACAUACAGAGAGCCAACCGGAUAUAUACAAAAAUUGUCAACAUCAUUAAUCUUCAUAGAAAUGCAAACUAAAGCUGCAAUGAGAUAUUACAUGACACUUGUUAGAAAAGAUUUUUUCAAAAAGAUAAAAGAUAAGUGUUGGAGAGGGUGUGAAAAAAACAGAACUUUUGUACACUGUUGGUUGGGUUGUAAACAAGUACAGUCAUUACAGAAAACAGUUUGAAGAUUUCUCAAAAAAUUAAAAAUAGAACUACUGUAUGAUCCAGCAAUUCUAAUUCUGGUUAUAUAUUCAAAGGAAAUCAUAUAAGUAUGUUGAAGAGAUACCCACAUUCCUAUGUUUAUUACAAGCAUUGUUCAUAAGAGCCAAGAUAUGGAAGCAACCUGAGUGCUCAUGGAUGGAUGAAUAGAUGAAGAAAAUGUGGUAUAUGUAAACAAUGCAAUACUAUUUAGCCUUAAAAAUAAGAAGAAAAUCCUAUAAUUUGCAACAGCAUGGAUAAACCUGGAAAACAUUAUGUCAAGUGAAAUAAACCAGAUUAUAAAGAAAUGCCUAAUUUCAUAUGUGGAAUCCAAAGAAGUUGAAUUCACAAAAGGAGAGAAUAAAAUGGUGGUUCCCAGGUGCUGGGGGUGAGUGGGAAAUGGGGAGAUGUUGGUCAUAGGGUACAAAGUUUCUGUUAGGAUUAAUAAGUUCUGGAGGUCUGUUGUACAACAUGAUGACAUAUAGUUAAUAAUAACUAAUACUUGAAAAUUUCUGG